rnacentral:lncRNA from 14 species
CCCGGCUGGAGCAGCAUCCCCGCGGGGUGCUCCGGGCUCCGUUAUCCCUCCGUGGGACGGCCCGGGGGGCGGCACAGGAAAGGAGGCCCCUGGGGAAGCAGCUUUGUUGCUUCCUCACGCUGGGUUGUGAUCCAGGCCAGCGUUCCCAGCUCCCGGCGUCACACCCUCUCCCAGCUGUUGCCUCGCCGAGCAUCGCGGGCGCUGCCAAGAAAACCUUGGUGAUGGAUGCAACUCCCUCCCCGCUCCCUUAAAACCGGCGGGGAGCGGCACCGUGCCUGUGUCUGCCCCGGCACGCCGGGAUCCGCCUGGGAAUGGGAUCCCGCUGGCACCCAGGGCACCCCCAGCUCGUCCUGCCCAGCGCGGAGCAGCGGGACAGCGUUGGCACCGCACGAGCUCAUGCCUUAGGCCGGUGUGGAGGGAGCUGCCGCUGUGCCCUGGGGCGCUGAAGUGUCACCUGUCCCCCAUCCCGACAGAGAAGAGACAGCAGGAGAUCCCUGGCUGCAGAUCCCAGCAUCCCAGCUCCCCAGGAUCUCACGGAUC